rnacentral:rRNA from 1 species
GACGAACGCUGGCGGCGUGCUUAACACAUGCAAGUCGAGCGGUAAGGCCCUUUCGGGGGUACGACGAGCGGCGAACGGUGAGUAACACGUGGGUGACCUGCCCUCAGCUCUGGGAUAAGCCUGGGAAACCGGGUCUAAUACUGGAUAUGACUCCAUGACGCAUGUUGUGGGGUGGAAAGCCUUGUGCGGCUGAGGAUGGGCCCGCGGCCUAUCAGCUUGUUGGUGGGGUGAUGGCCUACCAAGGCGACGACGGGUAGCCGGCCUGAGAGGGCGACCGGCCACACUGGGACUGAGACACGGCCCAGACUCCUACGGGAGGCAGCAGUGGGGAAUCUUGCGCAAUGGGCGAAAGCCUGACGCAGCGACGCCGCGUGAGGGAUGACGGCCUGUGUAAC